UGGGGAAUAUUGGACAAUGGGGGAAACCCUGAUCCAGCAAUGCCGCGUGAGUGAAGAAGGCCUUAGGGUUGUAAAGCUCUUUCGCCCGCGAAGAUAAUGACGGUAGCGGGAGAAGAAGCCCCGGCUAACUCCGUGCCAGCAGCCGCGGUAAUACGGAGGGGGCUAGCGUUGUUCGGAAUUACUGGGCGUAAAGCGUACGUAGGCGGAUGCGCAAGUUGGGGGUGAAAUCCCGGGGCUUAACCUCGGAAUUGCCCUCAAAACUGCACGUCUUGAGACCGAGAGAGGUAAGGGGAAUUCCUAGUGUAGAGGUGAAAUUCGUAGAUAUUAGGAAGAACACCAGUGGCGAAGGCGCCUUACUGGCUCGGUACUGACGCUGAGGUACGAAGGCGUGGGGAGCAAACA
rnacentral:rRNA from 1 species